rnacentral:pre_miRNA from 1 species
AAUAAACGAAUUUCUGUGUUUUUUAGAAUUUUUGACUCUUUAUCUUAUUUGAAAUUUUUUAUGAUUAAUAUUUUUAUUGUUACUACAUGAUAAAACAUAAAUAGUACUUUAUAUGUGACUAAUUUUUUUCAAUAUUUUAAUAAAUUUUUCAAAUAAGACGGAUGAUCAAACGCUCGACCUAAAAAUUC